UGGACCUACGGGUGGACUUCACGGGCUGAAAAGAUUGCCUGAGCCAAGAGGAACCAGCUCCAGGGAAGGUGAGGUGAGUGAGAAGAAGGUCACUGCUGACGUCAGGGACAUUCAGGAAACCGCUGAGCACAAAGGCAGCAUUGAUUCUCCACCACCCGUGAGGGGACUCUGGGAGGCCCGGCCGCCGCCGCGCGCUGCUUACCGCACCCUCUCGCCCGCACCUGGGGGAGCACGAUGUUCCGACCUUCUGCUUGGGAGUCUGAGCCCAGAGGCUCCGCCCGCCGCGCGCUGCUUACCGCACCCUCUCGCCCGCACCUGGGGGAGCACGAUGUUCCGACCUUCUGCUUGGGAGUCUGAGCCCACUGCAGCGGCUCCGUCGGCACCUGGAGGGCAGGCCUCACCUGCGAGCCGCCUCUGGGUCCUGGCCUCUGGCCAGGAGGCGUUCAGAACCGGAGGGGAACAGCUUCCUACCCCAGCCCAGUCCUUCUGGGAGGAGUUGGCAGGGGCCUCCGUUGCGUUGCCAACGUACGACCUCUUUUCCUGGAUAAACACAGCUCUGUCUCUGCAGCCAUCAGGCCGGCCUUCUUAA
rnacentral:lncRNA from 1 species